UGUGGACUCAGAAUACGGACAUUUAGAUGAACGAUAUGUCGAUAUGGAUAAUGUGGAUGACAUCGAUGAACGUUACGUAAAUGAUCCAGAGGAGGAUGACUAAUUGACACACUGAUGGAUGUCUUAUCACGCCUGCAUGUAAAUGCAUUAAAAUGAAUUAAAAAAAAUAAGCAAUGUCUAUCUUUUAGUUAUCAUUGAACUGGAUGCAGCAACAUUAUGUAAAUUAAAGAAAACAACAUGUUAUAUUUAAAUAUGAAAGCAAACAUAAAUGUUUUGGAGUAUGCACACGUCACUACGAGUAAACAUACAUAGUUUAUAAAUUUGAUGACACUGAAUUGUGCCGACUUCAAUUAAUUGUUGAUAUAAUAAACAUAAUACACCAUGUGGCGCAACAAUGUCGAAUUCAUAUAAGCCAGAAACAUCAAAAUAUUUUAAAAAGUUGAUGACGGUGUGAAA
rnacentral:lncRNA from 1 species